UACGUAGGGGGCAAGCGUUGUCCGGAAUCAUUGGGCGUAAAGAGCUCGUAGGCGGCUCGGUAAGUCAGGUGUGAAAACUCUAGGCUCAACCUAGAGACGCCACCUGAUACUGCUGUGGCUAGAGUCCGGUAGGGGAGCAUGGAAUUCCUGGUGUAGCGGUGAAAUGCUUAGAUAUGACAUAGAACACCAAUUGCGAAGGCAGCAGGCUAAACAAAUAUUGACGCUGAGGCUCGAAAGCGUGGGGAUCAAACAGG
rnacentral:rRNA from 1 species